GUACAGUGUCUCCAUGUAGAGCGUGAAGACAUUCAAGGUGGGUGCUGCACACAGUGCAGAACUGACCCAGUAAGCACCUCUAGUAGCCAUCUGAGUAGUUUCCACCAGGUGUUUCUCUGAAAAGCAUUGUUUACAUUAAAAAGUCUGCAUGGGCGUACUCAAGACACCAGAACCACUGCAUUAAGCUGUAGUUGUCCUGGUUACUACAGCAUCCC